GGAAAAGUUAUAGAUUCUGGUGAAGAUGAUCAUUCUGUUGAUUAGUCCAACUUCCUACAACAGGCAAGGGGAGAUAAAACAAUACUUGGAAUUAGCCUCAGGAUUUCAAUUUGGCUGAAAAUAACUCAGAUGCCUAACAGAUCAAAUCUUGGCAGAAUAUUUGAUAUUGCAAAACAUAGAGCAUCUUCAAUGUUUUUCAUUGACAAGACUGCGUUCAGGCACCACGAGAUGCAA